UCUCCGUUGGUGAACCAGCGGAGGGAUCAUUACUGAGUCUAACAAACUCCCAAACCCCUGUGAACAUACCUACUGUUGCUUCGGCGGGACCGCCCCGGGCGCCUUCGCGGUGCCCCGGAACCAGGCGCCCGCCGGGGACAUCAAACUCUUGAUUUUACAGCGUCUCUUCUGAGUGGAUUAUACAAAUGAAUCAAAACUUUCAACAACGGAUCUCUUGGUUCUG
rnacentral:misc_RNA from 1 species